rnacentral:tRNA from 1 species
GGUAAAAUGGCUGAAGUUUAGGCGAUAAAUUGUAAAUUUAUUUAUGAAUAAAAUUCUUUUACCA